CAAUAGCGUAUAUUAAAGUUGUUGCGGUUAAAAAGCUCGUAGUUGGAUUUCUGCUGAGAACGACCGGUCCGCCCUUUGGGUGUGUAUCUGGCUCUUUCUUGGCAUCUUCUUGGUGAACGUUGCUGCACUUGACUGUGUGGAGCGCUACCCAGGACUUUUACUUUGAGGAAAUUAGAGUGUUUCAAGCAGGCAUACGCCUUGAAUACAUUAGCAUGGAAUAAUAAGAUAGGACCUCGGUUCUAUUUUGUUGGUUUCUAGAGCUGAGGUAAUGAUUAAUAGGGAUAGUUGGGGGCAUUCGUAUUCAGUUGUCAGAGGUGAAAUUCUUGGAUUUACGGAAGACGAACAACUGCGAAAGCAUUUGCCAAGGAUGUUUUCAUUAA
rnacentral:rRNA from 1 species